AAUAGAUACCCCGGUAGUCCAUGCCGUAAACGUUGGGCGCUAGAUGUGGGGACCAUUCCACGGUUUCCGUGUCGCAGCUAACGCAUUAAGCGCCCCGCCUGGGGAGUACGGCCGCAAGGCUAAAACUCAAAGAAAUUGACGGGGGCCCGCACAAGCGGCGGAGCAUGCGGAUUAAUUCGAUGCAACGCGAAGAACCUUACCAAGGCUUGACAUAUACGAGAACGCUCUAGAAAUAGAGAACUCUUUGGACACUCGUAUACAGGUGGUGCAUGGUUGUCGUCAGCUCGUGUCGUGAGAUGUUGGGUUAAGUCCCGCAACGAGCGCAACCCUCGUUCUAUGUUGCCAGCGGUUCGGCCGGGAACUCAUAGGAGACUGCCGGGGUCAACUCGGAGGAAGGUGGGGAUGACGUCAAAUCAUCAUGCCCCUUAUGUCUUGGGCUUCACGCAUGCUACAAUGGCCGGUACAAAGGGCUGCAAUACCGUAAGGUGGAGCGAAUCCCAAAAAGCCGGUCUCAGUUCGGAUUGAGGUCUGC
rnacentral:rRNA from 1 species